GUUUUGUGGAGGCAUUCUUAGCCAUGUAGGACUGUGUGACGGUGCUCUUAAGAAACAACAAGGAGCUGCCUCCAUGGAAUUCAGAUGUAAACUUUUCUGGCACAAGACUUAAAGGGCAUAAAACUUGCCUCUUUGUGAAACUACGUACACUUACCCACUCUGAGAACAUUUAGAUAGUUGGUUUCUACUGAGCUUUGUUAUCCCACAUAUGUUCUUCUGCUGGAGCCUUUUAUGUCAGAAAACCUUUGAAGAGUGGGAGUAGCUCUUUAAAUUUAUCUGGAAGCAGUGGGGUUUCUUUUACAAUUGGCUGUUGCUGCUCACGUCGUUUUAUUUCAAGAGACGUACCAUAUACUCUACCGAAGACCAUAUUUUUUCUGUCGAGAUCAUCUCCUCCUUGUGAAUCAGAACGGGAAAGCAAAGAAGCUCUUGGAAGCUCAAGGAAGAACAUCUUGCCCUUAGUUUCUUGAAAAGAAGCUGCUUCCAAGGAUGAAACCCUCUGAUUUAGAAGGGAAAUUCAGAAGGAUUUUUAAUAGUGAAGAAAACAGGAAGGGAUGACACGGGAGGUAAUUGAUAUCACACGUUGAUGAAGGAACAUCUGAAACUGUAGAAAGGCUAACAGAAGUAUUUGGCUAAAUCUAAGAUAGUCCAAAAGAUGACUACACUGUAAAGUCAGUCCAUCGUACUACUAAUGUAACGAAUCCUGUGUCACAGAGCUGUUUUUCCCAUUCUAAUAUGCAUUAAAUACAAAAUCCAUUGAUCAGUACUGUUAGUAGUGACACCUGCUUGACUGACAAGUAACACUGUGUUACUGGAGUGCCUCUUCCAUACAACCUUUUAAGUCAAAUGUUCUCUAGUUAUGGAUGUUCAGUUCUUGGUGUACAACAGGUUCUAGCUGACUUCCACUGAAUUCAUCAUCUACCAGUAAUUCUGCUCUUUAAAAAUAAAUCAGAUUCUUUCCUUUCCACAUACCCAAUCUUUGCAUUACUAUUUCACUCGUACACAUUCCCUCCACGCUCUGUUGGCAG
rnacentral:lncRNA from 1 species